rfam:Amborella trichopoda AMTR_V1.0_contig_37039, whole genome shotgun sequence.
GGGCCUGUAGCUCAGAGGAUUAGAGUACAUGACUAAGAACCACGGUAUUGGGGAUUCGAAUCUCUCCUCGCCCA